AUUGAACGCUGGCGGCAGGCCUAACACAUGCAAGUCGAACGAGUGGCGGACGGGUGAGUAAUGUCUGGGAAACUGCCUGAUGGAGGGGGAUAACUACUGGAAACGGUAGCUAAUACCGCAUACCAUCGGAUGUGCCCAGAUGGGAUUAGCUAGUAGGUGGGGUAAUGGCUCACCUAGGCGACGAUCCCUAGCUGGUCUGAGAGGAUGACCAGCCAGACUGGAACUGAGACACGGGCAAGACUCCUACGGGAGGCAGCAGUGGGGAAUAUUGCACAAUGGGCGCAAGCCUGAUGCAGCCAUGCCGCGUGUAUGAAGAAGGCCUUCGGGUUGUAAAGCACUUUCAGCGAGGAGGCGUUACCCGCAGAAGAAGCACCGGCUAACUCCGUGCCAGCAGCCGCGGUAAUAC
rnacentral:rRNA from 1 species